rnacentral:rRNA from 1 species
GACGAACGCUGGCGGCGUGCUUAACACAUGCAAGUCGAACGGAAAGGCCCUGCUUUUGUGGGGUGCUCGAGUGGCGAACGGGUGAGUAACACGUGAGUAACCUGCCCUUGACUUUGGGAUAACUUCAGGAAACUGGGGCUAAUACCGGAUAGGAGCUCCUGCUGCAUGGUGGGGGUUGGAAAGUUUCGGCGGUUGGGGAUGGACUCGCGGCUUAUCAGCUUGUUGGUAGGGUAGUGGCUUACCAAGGCUUUGACGGGUAGCCGGCCUGAGAGGGUGACCGGCCACAUUGGGACUGAGAUACGGCCCAGACUCCUACGGGAGGCAGCAGUGGGGAAUAUUGCACAAUGGGCGGAAGCCUGAUGCAGCAACGCCGCGUGCGGGAUGACGGCCUUCGGGUUGUAAACCGCUUUCGCCUGUGACGAAGCGUGGGUGACGGUAAUGGGUAAAGAAGCACCGGCUAACUACGUG